rnacentral:rRNA from 1 species
AGCAGCCGCGGUAAUUCCAGCUCCAAUAGCGUAUAUUAAAGUUGUUGCAGUUAAAAAGCUCGUAGUUGAAUUUCGGGAUCAAAUUGUUGGUCGUGCCUCGGUACGCACUGGUAUUAUUGGUUCCUACCUUCUGAAGAACCGCGAUGUCAUUAAUUUGGUGUCGUGGGGAAUCAGGACUGUUACUUUGAAAAAUUGAGUGUUUAAAGCAGGCUUACGCUUGAAUACAUUAGCAUGGAAUAAUGAAAUAGGACGUUUGAUUCUAUUUUGUUGGUUUCUAGGAUUGACGUAAUGAUUAAUAGGGAUAGUUGGGGGCAUUAGUAUUCAAUUGUCAGAGGUGAAAUUCUUGGAUUUAUUGAAGACUAACUACUGCGAAAGCAUUUGCCAAGGAUGUUUUCAUUAAUCAAGAACGAAAGUUAGGGAUCGAAGACGAUUAGAUACCGUCGUAGUCUUAACCAUAACUAUACCGACUAGGGAUCGGAUGAUGUUAAUUUUUAUGACUCAUUCGGCGCCUUACGGGAAA